UAAUACGAAGGGUGCAAGCGUUGUUCGGAAUGACUGGGCGUAAAGGGCGCGUAGGCGGUUUUGUACGUUUGAUGUGAAAGUCCUGGGCUUAACCUGGGGACGGCAUUGGAUACGGCAGAGCUAGAGAGCGAGAGAGGGAGACGGAAUCGAGCGUGUAGAGGUGAAAUUCGUAGAUAUGCUCGAGAACACCGGAGGCGAAGGCGGUUUCCUGGCUCGCAACUGACGCUAAGGCGCGAAAGCGUGGGGAGCAAACAGG
rnacentral:rRNA from 1 species